AACGAACGCUGGCGGCAUGCCUAACACAUGCAAGUCGAACGAGACCUUCGGGUCUAGUGGCGCACGGGUGCGUAACGCGUGGGAAUCUACCCUCAGGUUCGGAAUAACUCAGAGAAAUUUGAGCUAAUACCGGAUGAUGACGUAAGUCCAAAGAUUUAUCGCCUGAGGAUGAGCCCGCGUAGGAUUAGGUAGUUGGUGAGGUAAAGGCUCACCAAGCCGACGAUCCUUAGCUGGUCUGAGAGGAUGAUCAGCCACACUGGGACUGAGACACGGCCCAGACUCCUACGGAAGGCAGCAGUGGGGAAUAUUGGACAAUGGGCGAAAGCCUGAUCCAGCAAUGCCGCGUGAGUGAUGAAGGCCUUAGGGUUGUAAAGCUCUUUUACCCGGGAUGAUAAUGACAGUACCGGGAGAAUAAGCUCCGGCUAACUCCG
rnacentral:rRNA from 1 species